UUUAAAGUACACAGUCAGUACUGAUAUGCAAAUUGAAAUCAAGAUAAUGUUUUUAGGCCUGUGGGCAGCAUGAGCAGUGUCAUUCCCCCACCCUGUGAAUGCGCAUUCAGUGGAGUGCCUACACAAAUGAAAACUAGCUCUGAUUUUAGUUCAGCAGCACUAGGGAUCAGGAAAGCCACUGUUUGCUGACCCUGGCUCAGUCUGCCUGCUAAGGGUAACUUGGUUUGUCUGUUCCUUGGCACAUUUUGUUCUGAGGAAUAUCAGCUCGAAGACCUGCUCUGAAGAGCUCUGCAAACAAACCCUAAACCACAAUUUUGCACACAGGGACAGACAGACUUUGUCCUCUUGGCUGUGGCUGUUUGAGCAGUGUGAGACAGUGUGGUUGUGGUCAGGCUCACAGAGAGUUUUGGCUCUCUCCAUUCUCUUGUGAGUGCUGCACAGAAACAUGGACUAUGAAAACCCAGGAAACCCCGUUCCUGCACUGCAGAGGAGUCUUAAUGAGAUUUCAGCUUCAUCACAAACCCACAGUCCAGUGGGAGAGUCACAGUAACUCCAAAAGACCAAUGGGAGCUGCAGCCACCAGCUGGAGGUAGAGGAAGCAUUUCUAGACAGUCCCCUGAUUGCCCAUUGCUCAUCUCUUGCUCCCUUUCUUCAUGUUUCCACCAUGACCUACAUUCCUUGGAUGUACUUGCCUCCUGAUUUGCAUAUUAAUCUGAAUAAAAUAGCAGCAUGGCAGUUUUUGCCCUGUCCAGUAGUUUGUACUAUUGUGGGACUCCCCAAAUUAAGAGGUUGUUAACAGGACUUGGCCAGCAUGUAGCAUGGGCACAAACAGUGUGGUGUUUGUUUGCUGAAGGGGGAAGAGAGGCAGAGCAGGACAGCACAGAUCAAAAACUCUGUGUCCUAAUGAAGAGUAUUUCUAUUCCAGUUUCAAGGUUUAUUUCAGUAAUUUAUAAGACAAAGCAAGUCAUUAAGCACAUUGAGCCUUUAUACUGCCUGUGUAACCUGGAACCACACAAACUAGAUCCAUAUUGUUAAUAUUAGCACAGCUUUAGUACAUCUUCCCUUUCUGUGAAGAGAAAAUAGAAAUGUGCACAAUAAGAAUUAUCUGGCAGUGUUCAGCUUUCACUUUGUUGGCUGAACUUCUGCUCUAUGUUUGUCCCAGGUAGGGCAUUACUUUUGUUCACCUGGAAGCAUGAGUUCUUAGCCAAACCCAAACCACCGUUUCCCAAGAGGAAAAUCAUCCAUCCCCAUCCCUUGAGAUCCUCCAGACAAGAAGAGAGACUCCAGCUGAGAAGCACAGCAAGCACUGUGGAGUCACAGCUGACACAAACCAAAUAAUGUUCAUUUCCAUUGAAUAGAACCUGACACCCAAACACACCAGCCCUUGACGGCAGGUAUUGGGGUGCCAGGCCUUCCCUGGUGUCCUCACCCACAGGUUCCUGCAUGAGGCAGAUGGUCACACCACUAAGAUUCACCAGUAUGGUGACAAUAACAAGCUGCAGUGGUACAGACAGACUUUCUCACCAUGAUUUUUGUGUUGUAUUUUCUUUCACCACUCUCCCAUGGUAGCUUUCCCCUUUGCAACAAAGAGCUGCAGCUUCACUCCAGGCUGGGACCAGCUCCAGACCAGACCUCUCCAAGCCGCCACUGUGACAUCAAGUGACACUGACCCUGGGCUGAGACCCAGAGGGGGGUCCUGCAGGCACCAGCCAUGCCAUCAGGAGCUGUCACAGGGCAGGGGACUCUGGAGAGGUUGUUUCACAAGUGGUUCCCUUUUGAGGUAGUUUGGGAUGUUGCUCUUCCACCAUGGGCUGAGCCCAUUACAAAGACCUCUGGGUCUUUAUUCACAUUUUUAGAAAUGUCUCUUAUUGUCUAAAUAAAGACUAUCAGUGCAGCCCA
ensembl:lncRNA